UCCAGGCAUGGUGGCACAUGCCUAUGGUCCCAGCUACUCUAGAGGCUGAGGCAAGAAGAUUCCUUGAGCCCAGGAGUUCUAGGCUGUAGUGUGCUAUGCUGAUCAGGUGUCCAAACUAAGUUCAUCAUCAAUAUGGUAACCUCCUGGGAGUGGCGGACCACCAGGUUGCCUAAGGAGGGGUGUACCAGCCCAGGUCAGAAAUGGAGCAGGUGAAAACUCCUGUGCUGAUCAGUAGUGAUCUUACACCUGUAAAUAGUCACUGCACUCAAGCCUGGGCAAUAUAGCAAGAUCCUGUCUUUAAA
rnacentral:SRP_RNA from 1 species